GAUGGCAGACAACAGAAGGAAAGGAAAGUCCUUAUUUAUAAGAACACUGUGGAUACAAUACUGUUACCAGGACAACCACAUUCCCCAAGUACACCACUGACCAGGGCAGAAACAAGUCAUUAGCUGAGAGGCUGGCCCUACUGAGAAGAUGCUGAGGGAAGCAGGUAUUGAUGCUCAGAGAUGAAGACGUGAUGGCACUCAGAAGCUACAAAGGCCCGGAGCACAGGCAAUGCCCCGGGGAGUGUCAGAGGUAGGAAGGACCUGGAUCAAGACCAGAAAACAGGCCCUACAAGGAGCAAAUGCUCCUCCCAUGAACCACUGGAGGUCAGGAAGGAGGACAGCAGCGACUGGGGGAAAGGCUCUACAGGGGCUGCUGUGAGCAUCAGGAGGAUCUGCUGGGCAAGGCAUCAAAGCUUUUAUGGACCGAGGCAAACAGCAUUCCAAGUGGACGGACAUGCUGAGCAUUCUGUGCAUGUGGACAAGCUGCAGCCUAUGACGUCAUGUGUCCACAGUUGCCUUGAUAUAAUCUGGAACAGGACUGGAAAAAAUACAUGAGGAAAAAGAUCAUCACUGGAACAAGCUCAUUAAUCACAGAUCCAAUUACACUAAUAACCUGGCAGCAAAACCUCAUCAGAGUUAGUUUGGGCCAGCCCAGCAGGUAAUUAGCAUAUGGAUAAGUAAAAUAAAUGUGCACUCCUUUUUUUCAAAUGCAGUAAUCAAGAACUGAUGGUGUAUCUCAAUGGUACAGCACUUGCCUAACAUCUGUAAGGUCCUAGGUUCAAUUCCCAGCACAAGAAAGAAAAAAAAAUGACAUUAAAUGCAGCACUUCUGUACAUAAUUACAUGUAAACAAUGGUUUUCAGCUAUAUUUGCUAAGAAAUAAAGACUAUUCUGGAAGACAGAAAGUUCUGGAAGCAUCACUGCUGAAUUCAGUCUUGACUCUCCUGUACAAAUUUAUAUGUAUCUGUAGCCAU